GUUGUCGGUGUUUAAUUUAAUUAGUUGAUCACAAUUAACAGUCUAAUUAACUGAUUUUCAUCUUCAAGUGAAUUCAAUUUUCUACCAGUUAAUUAAAUGUAACAUUGAAAUGGUGGAAUUGAAAUGUAAUCAAAAGUAUCAGUGAUUAUUGUUAAGUGUAUCUUCAUGUGGAUGGUGUAACCUUGAUUUACUUGGCGAAUGCUUCAAUAGUGUAUACAUAUCAAAAGGCCGCUCCUUUAAGGUUAACUUGGAAUCGUUUUCUCUUCUCCCAUUUUCUUCAUCAUCUUUAAUAUCAUCAUCGUUCAUCUUUGGCUAUUACUUGUGCCUCCAUUUUGUUUCCAUAUAUUAAUAUAUGUAUUUAUAUUGUUAUAUUAUCAUGAUGAUGAUGAUGAUGUGAUUACCCACUGACUAUCCUAGUAAUUUUCGAUUCUCUCUCAUUAGGAUGGACUCUUUGUAUUAUUAUAAACGCACACACAAUUGAUUAACAUCCUUCUUUUGAAAGUGAAAAGAAGAAGAGAAAUCAAAUUUUAAUUGUA